UACGUAGGCAGCAAGCGUUGUUCGGAGUUACUGGGCGUAAAGGGUGUGUAGGCGGUUCCCUAAGUUUGGUGUGAAAUCUCCCGGCUCAACUGGGAGGGUGCGCCGAAAACUGGGGGGCUAGAGUGCGGGAUGGGAGAGUGGAAUUCCUGGUGUAGCGGUGAAAUGCGUAGAUAUCAGGAGGAACACCUGUGGUGUAGACGGCUCUCUGGACCGCAACUGACGCUGAGACACGAAAGCCGUGGGUAGCAAAGCGGG
rnacentral:rRNA from 1 species